AACGAACGCUGGCGGCAUGCCUAACACAUGCAAGUCGAACGAGACCUUCGGGUCUAGUGGCGCACGGGUGCGUAACGCGUGGGAACCUGCCUUUAGGUUCGGAAUAACUCAGAGAAAUUUGAGCUAAUACCGGAUGAUGUCUUCGGACCAAAGAUUUAUCGCCUUUAGAUGGGCCCGCGUUGGAUUAGCUAGUUGGUGGGGUAAAGGCCUACCAAGGCGACGAUCCAUAGCUGGUCUGAGAGGAUGAUCAGCCACACUGGGACUGAGACACGGCCCAGACUCCUACGGGAGGCAGCAGUGGGGAAUAUUGGAAAAUGGGCGAAAGCCUGAUCCAGCAAUGCCGCGUGAGUGAUGAAGGCCUUAGGGUUGUAAAGCUCUUUUACCCGAGAUGAUAAUGACAGUAUCGGGAGAAUAAGCGCCGGCUAACUCCGUG
rnacentral:rRNA from 1 species